UCGUGUGUAACGGGCCUAAGCGGUCACGCCGCUGAGUCCAACGGCUUGCCGCAAUCCCGCACAUCCCGCAUAAGUCCUAACCUAGCUUCGAACAAAAAACGUAGUGCCUACCCACGAUGGCGGCGACGGCGGCGGCUGCUGCUACUUCGCCCACCUGACGCUUCUCCUUCGCCACCUCCUCGACGACGGCCUGCUCCUCGCCGCUGACGCCCUCCACCUCCCGGCCACCCUCGCCUCCGGCGCCACCGCCAAGUCCCCUCCCAAUUUGUGCGCACGCCCCGACGGCCUGCUGCGGAACUUCGACGUCCUCGCCGGGUUCCUUGCGUUUCUGUGAUAUACGGUCAGAAGAACUCCUUGUUUAUUGAGCAAUCAUGGUGGUGUCGACGGCGCCAUCUCCACAUCGGGACUGCCCUACUGAAAUCCUCGAUGGAGAUGUUGUCCCUCCACUGCCUCCCUCACAUGCUGAAGCUGUGGUUUCUCCGUCGCUUCCCUCCUUGAUUGGAGCUGUUGUUUCGUCACCUUCCGCUUCAGCAAGGGCUCCGGCAACCUUGCCGCGCCCUUUCCUAUCCUCCAAGAACAAAGGGCAUGCAUCCAAGAACAAAGGGCAUGUGUCAACUGAUGAAGUCGAUGCAGCUGCAACACUUUGUUCCCUUGUCCCAAUGACCCAAGAUCCUCACCAAGGUUACUUAGGAGAAAAGCAAAGACUCGCAAAGAAGAGCCUGAGGUCACCGUUACUGGUGCCCAUAGUGGGAUCCCAGGGGUUAAUGUCGUGUUAUCUCAGGCAUCUCCAAGAUUAGGUGUGAAACGAUCAUCGCCAACACUGCCUCAGAUUCCUCGUCUUUCACAUAAAAGAAAAAGAAGGAAACUUAAAUCUGAAAUCUGGAAUGAUUAUGAUCCUGUGUAUGAUGGCAACAAAAUCAAGGAAGCACACUGUAAAUAUUGCAAGAGAGUUUUUAUUUGUACAAGAAUAGCUGGUUCAAUGCAUCAGGAUUUGUUAGUUUGUGAGGAAAGAGGCAAGGUCAAUGAGUUUCUCGACUCGGUUAAAUCAGCCAUGCCACAACCUGAUCCAAACAGUGUAGAAAAAUGGAAAAAUGACCCCGACAGAGCACAUUGGGAGUUGAUGAGGAUGAUUGUCGUUCAUGAAUUGCCAUUCUCCAUAGUGGAAUAUGAUGGGUUUAGGCGAUUUGUGCAUAGUCUGAAUCCAACAUUUGAGGUGGUGUCUAGGAUGACAAUAACACUUGGUUGCCUCCUUCUAUUUGAUGAACAAAGGACAAAGCUUUGAGAGGCUAUGCAGAACUUAAUCUCCCGUGUCUCUUUAACCGCCGACAUGUGGACUUCAAGUCAACUCAAGAGCCGUGGAUAAUAUCAGGGAAAGCAUCAAGUUUGUUAGAAGCUCCCCCACUCGGAAACAGAAAUUUAAGGAAAUAGUUGCACAAGAAGGCAUUGCUUGCAAAAAGAGCCUAUCUCUGGACGUCCUUACACGGUGGAAUUCAACGCAUUUGAUGAUCAAAAUAGCCCUGGAGUAUAGGAGAGAAUUUGCCGCUAUGAAGUUGCAGGACACCACAUUUACAUGUCAACCCACAAAUGUUGAAUGGGAAACGGCAGAAUUUGUUUGCAGCUUGUUAGAGGUUUUCCUCGAUGCAACUAUGGUGGUGUCCCGUACAUUAUAUCCAACAUCUCAUUUGUAUUUCCACGAACAUUGGAAAAUUCAUCUAAUAUUGCAAAGAGAGACCAAACAUAAGGAUAUUGUCAUCAAAUCCAUGGUUGAAGCAAUGCAAGAAGAAGUUCAUGAAGUAUUGGAAGCUGUCAUUCUUGACCAUUUGUCUUCCGGUCAUACUCGACCCCAGGUACAAGUUUAAAUUCUUGGAGUUCUGCUUAAAAUCUGGACUUGAAAGUGAUGCAACAAGGUAUCUUGCUAAAGUGAAGAGAACAUUCAAAGAUCUAUUUGUUGAAUAUUCUAUGCAUGAGGGUGAGUCAAAUAUGGGAAAUGAUCAAGGAACCAACAAUGUUGGUACAAGUAUUGAUAACCCAUGGGAUCAAUGGAACAAACAAGUUAAGCAAAAUCAAGAAAAUCGAGCAAAGCUGAGUGAACUUGAUAUUUACCUAAAAGAUGAUGUUUGCCCGCAAGAAGAUGGGUUCGACAUACUAUGUUGGUAGUCCAAUAAUGCACACAAGUAUCCCAUAGUAUCUCGGAUAGCAAAGGAUGUAUUGGCUGCACCUGCAUCUAGUGUAGCAUCAGAGUCGGCCUUCUCCACUGGAGGAAGAAUACUCAAUGACUAUAGGACCAGAUUGCUUCCUACCACUGUAGAGGCAUUAAUCUGUAUAAUGGUAGUGAACAUCAGUUUUUGUCAAGAACCUCCGUUCAGUAUAUUUGGAGACCCUCAGCAUCAGUAGCAGUAUAUUUGGAGACCCUCGGCACCGGCAUCCGCAGCAGUAUUAAGCCCAGAAGAUCAAGCUUUUUGUACAAGUGACGAAGCAUCUGAAGCUUUUUGUAUAUUAUCAGUCACUUUCAUAUCAGGAGUCUCCUGAUUUAGCUAUAGUAGUUAAUUGAAUUCUUGCUAUCUUGUUGAAUUUAGCUGUAGUAAUUCAUGCCACUUACCUUUUGCAGUAAUAUGUUUUAACACUGUUGAGUCUACUGAAUGAGCAAAAUGUUUAAGAAA